rnacentral:lncRNA from 1 species
CUAUAUUCUAUGUUUUUUGAUGUCUUAUGUAUUUUGGACCACUUUUAUACUGGGAUUGGAUAUAUUCCAUGUUUGUCUUGUAUAUUGUACUCUCUCAGUUUAUAUAGACAUCUUCCUUUUUGUGUAUUUUAGCUAUUCCUUUUUAUUUCCUCUAAUCAUCACUCUUAUGAUUUUUCUUUUCUUAUGCAACAUGUGGUUUCUCCUCU